UAAACUGAUAGCUUACCUUCCCAGGUGUGGGACAGAAAGUCAUCCCUCUGCUCACCUGAGGCAAAUGCACAUCUGAUUGCUUCCUCUGCCCUUUUGUUGAUGGAGAAUGCAGAUUCACUGAGCCAGACUAAGACAUAAGUGACUAUUCCCCUAUCCCACUCUCACAUAUAUAUUGUAUAUUCACUGAAAGGCUGAGCAAAAACUCAAAAGAACGCAAACUUUGGGCUCCUAUCUACCUAUGACGUGGAAGCCCCCGCCUUGAGUUGUCCCAACUUUACAGACCAAACCAAUGUACAGCUUACACAUAUUGAUUUGUCUCAUAUCUCCCUAAAAUGUUUAAAAAGCAAGGCGUCCCCUGACCACCUUGGGCACAUGUCAUCAGGACCUCCUGAGGCCGUGUCACGGGCAAGUCUUUAACCUUGGCAAAAUAAACUUUCCAAAUUGAUUGAGACCCGUCUCUAAUACUUUGGGACCUUGUUUACUGUCCCUGCCACCUGUGGCUUCAGUG
rnacentral:lncRNA from 1 species